CAAGUCGAACGAGUUCUCGUUGAUGAUCGGUGCUUGCACCGAGAUUCAACAUGGAACGAGUGGCGGACGGGUGAGUAACACGUGGGUAACCUGCCCUUAAGUGGGGGAUAACAUUUGGAAACAGAUGCUAAUACCGCAUAGAUCCAAGAACCGCAUGGUUCUUGGCUGAAAGAUGGCGUAAGCUAUCGCUUUUGGAUGGACCCGCGGCGUAUUAGCUAGUUGGUGAGGUAAUGGCUCACCAAGGCGAUGAUACGUAGCCGAACUGAGAGGUUGAUCGGCCACAUUGGGACUGAGACACGGCCCAAACCCCUACGGGAGGCAGCGGUAGGGAAUCUUCCACAAUGGACGCAAGUCUGAUGGAGCAACGCCGCGUGAGUGAAGAAGGCUUUCGGGUCGUAAAACUCUGUUGUUGGAGAAGAAUGGUCGGCAGAGUAACUGUUGCCGGCGUGACGGUAUCCAACCAGAAAGCCACGGCUAACUACGUGCCAGCAGCCGCGGUAAUACGUAGGUGGCAAGCGUUAUCCGGAUUUAUUGGGCGUAAAGCGAGCGCAGGCGGUUUUUUAAGUCUGAUGUGAAAGCCCUCGGCUUAACCGAGGAAGCGCAUCGGAAACUGGGAAACUUGAGUGCAGAAGAGGACAGUGGAACUCCAUGUGUAGCGGUGAAAUGCGUAGAUAUAUGGAAGAACACCAGUGGCGAAGGCGGCUGUCUGGUCUGUAACUGACGCUGAGGCUCGAAAGCAUGGGUAGCGAACAGGAUUAGAUACCCUGGUAGUCCAUGCCGUAAACGAUGAAUGCUAGGUGUUGGAGGGUUUCCGCCCUUCAGUGCCGCAGCUAACGCAUUAAGCAUUCCGCCUGGGGAGUACGACCGC
rnacentral:rRNA from 1 species